UGAAGCCGCAAUCAAACACCGGGAAAAUGAUAACUAAGAGUAUCCCAGAAAAUGCUCUAAAAUGAUCCCAAUCAGUCUAAUUUACUGAAUUAUUUUUAAACAGAGCUAUUCAAGCUAUCUGGGGAAUUUACUUAUACAUAUCGCAAUAUAAAUCACAGCAAAACAAAUGAUCGCAUAUCAAAUUUUUUUUACUAAGUAUUAAUUUCUGUACUUUUGUCACACAUAUAUGCCGCAAUCUGUGAACACACGCACACAAGGCUGAGCGAUUCCUUUAAACCAUCUACUGUCUACUAGUUUCCAGGACGUCCCCUCCUGCCUUUAAACCUGACAAUCCGAUCUAAUCUGCAUUGCAUUUGAUGUGCAGGUCCCCUCAGCUCAGCUCGGCCCGGCACCACGUCUGCACAGGAGUCGUUGGCUGCUUUUUGGAGGCUUUAAAAGGAAUACGGCCUCUUUAAUCUGCCUGCCUUCUCCUGGAGCCUCGGGCAAGCCUGCAGGAUGGUCUCUCACUCUCUCUGUCUCUCUUUCUCUCUCUCCACUUCCGCUCUUUUCUCAUUCUAUCUCUCUCUCUCUCUCUGCGCCAGGCCCUCUGUCCUUCAGUUCUGUUAAAUCACUUGGAUCCCUUCCAUAAUAGCAGCUACCUUUCAGAUACCCUUUACCCAGCGUGGCCUCACUUCCAGCAGGAGGGGUGGAGGGUGUCACUGUCAUAUAAAAAGAUUCAGUGUGUUGGCAUCAUUCAGCCUGUUAUACUGAGCAGAGCAAAGAUGGUUGACGCUGUUCAUCCACAAGAUGGCGACAGAGACAACAUGAUAACCAAUCUAAAGAGAAAAGAUCGAAGUAUUUUUAAACGACAGAUGAUCAAAACAUUAUAAAAUUGGUGACAUUCUAAGUCGAUCUCUCUCUUUUUUAUGUUGCAGUGCUUUAUUUAUACUAUAGUAAUUGUUGUGUAUUGAGUGUGAGGACUGGGGCUCACAUAUCAGGAAUGUAUGUAUCUUUGUAUAACCCUGACUUUUUGGUUGUCUAUCUUUGUUUCUCAUGCGUCUCCUGUUUUCAUUAAUGCAGACUAGUUCA